ACUCAAAUGAAUUGACGGGGACCCACACAAGCGGUGGAGCAUGUGGUUUAAUUCGAUAAUAAACGAGAAACCUUACCCAGGCUUGACAUCUCCGGAACCCUGAAGAAAUUUGGGGGUGCCGUAAGGAACCGGAUGACAGGUGCUGCAUGGUCGUCGUCAGCUCGUGCCUUGAGGUGUUCGGUUAAGUCCGUAAACGAGCGCAACCCAUGUCAUAUGUUGUAUUUCUCAUAUGAGACUGCCGGCUCUAAGUCGGAGGAAGGUAUGGAUGACGUCAGAUCAGCAUGGCCCUUAUGCCUGGGGCCACACACGUGCUACAAUGGCCGGUACAAAGAGAAGCAAACCCGAAAGGGGAAGCAAAUCUCAUCAAAGCCGGUCUCAGUUCGGAUUGGGGGCUGCAACUCGACCCCAUGAAGUUGGAAUCGCUAGUAACCGUAGAUCAGCCAUGCUACGGUGAAUAUGUUCCUGGGUCUUGUACACACCGCCCGU
rnacentral:rRNA from 1 species